GUUUGGGGAGGCACAUCUGUUAAAAGAUAACACGAGUGUCCUAAGAUGAGUUCAACGAGAACAAAAAUCUCAUGUGGAACAAAAGGGUAAAAGCUCAUUUUGCCAAUUACUCUAUCUACCUUCACUCCAAAGAAACAUUUGG
rfam:Picea glauca, whole genome shotgun sequence.